rnacentral:rRNA from 1 species
UACAGAGGUCCCAAGCGUUGUUCGGAUUCAUUGGGCGUAAAGGGUGUGUAGGAGGUCGGGCAAGUCGGGUGUGAAAUCUCACCGCUUAACGGUGGAAUUGCGCUCGAUACUGCUCGGCUAGAGGGCCGGAGGGGGGAUCGGAAUUCUCGGUGUAGCGGUGAAAUGCGUAGAUAUCGAGAGGAACACCUGCGGCGAAGGCGGGUUGCUGGGCUGACACUGACGCUGAGGCGCGAAAGCUAGGGGAGCGAACGGG